CCUACGGGUGGCAGCAGUGGGGAAUAUUGGACAAUGGGCGAAAGCCUGAUCCAGCCAUGCCGCGUGUGUGAAGAAGGCCUUCGGGUUGUAAAGCACUUUCAGUGGGGAAGAAAGCCUUGGGGCUAAUACCCUCGAGGAAGGACAUCACCCACAGAAGAAGCACCGGCUAACUCCGUGCCAGCAGCCGCGGUAAUACGGAGGGUGCGAGCGUUAAUCGGAAUUACUGGGCGUAAAGCGCGCGUAGGCGGUCUGAUAAGCCGGUUGUGAAAGCCCCGGGCUCAACCUGGGAACGGCAUCCGGAACUGUCAGGCUAGAGUGCAGGAGAGGAAGGUAGAAUUCCCGGUGUAGCGGUGAAAUGCGUAGAGAUCGGGAGGAAUACCAGUGGCGAAGGCGGCCUUCUGGACUGACACUGACGCUGAGGUGCGAAAGCGUGGGUAGCAAACAGGAUUAGAUACCGGUAGUC
rnacentral:rRNA from 1 species